ACGCUGGCGGCAGGCCUAACACAUGCAAGUCGAGCGGUAGAGAGAAGCUUGCUUCUCUUGAGAGCGGCGGACGGGUGAGUAAUGCCUAGGAAUCUGCCUGGUAGUGGGGGAUAACGUUCGGAAACGGACGCUAAUACCGCAUACGUCCUACGGGAGAAAGCAGGGGACCUUCGGGCCUUGCGCUAUCAGAUGAGCCUAGGUCGGAUUAGCUAGUUGGUGAGGUAAUGGCUCACCAAGGCGACGAUCCGUAACUGGUCUGAGAGGAUGAUCAGUCACACUGGAACUGAGACACGGUCCAGACUCCUACGGGAGGCAGCAGUGGGGAAUAUUGGACAAUGGGCGAAAGCCUGAUCCAGCCAUGCCGCGUGUGUGAAGAAGGUCUUCGGAUUGUAAAGCACUUUAAGUUGGGAGGAAGGGUUGUAGAUUAAUACUCUGCAAUUUCGACGUUACCGACAGAAUAAGCACCGGCUAACUCUGUGCCAGCAGCCGCGGUAAUACAGAGGGUGCAAGCGUUAAUCGGAAUUACUGGGCGUAAAGCGCGCGUAGGUGGUUUGUUAAGUUGGAUGUGAAAUCCCCGGGCUCAACCUGGGAACUGCAUUCAAAACUGACUGACUAGAGUAUGGUAGAGGGUGGUGGAAUUUCCUGUGUAGCGGUGAAAUGCGUAGAUAUAGGAAGGAACACCAGUGGCGAAGGCGACCACCUGGACUAAUACUGACACUGAGGUGCGAAAGCGUGGGGAGCAAACAGGAUUAGAUACCCUGGUAGUCCACGCCGUAAACGAUGUCAACUAGCCGUUGGAAGCCUUGAGCUUUUAGUGGCGCAGCUAACGCAUUAAGUUGACCGCCUGGGGAGUACGGCCGCAAGGUUAAAACUCAAAUGAAUUGACGG
rnacentral:rRNA from 1 species